rnacentral:lncRNA from 1 species
UUGGAAGUCUCACAUCGACUAGAGAUAAGGCCAAUUAAUAAUAUAUAAGUGAGGUGCAAACCUCACCUUACAAGCCGGUUUUGUAGGGUUGAGUUAGGCCUAAAACUCACUUCUAAUAUGAUAUCAGAGUCAUGGUUAAAGCCUAUCCUAACGAGUUCUAAGUGGGCAUUUCUGUUUCUAUUCCACCCAUUCUCGGGCCAAUAUUGGACCACCUAAUUUCUAC